rnacentral:rRNA from 1 species
CGGGAAACCGUGAUAAGGGGACACCGAGUGCCAGCAUCAUAUGCUGGCUGUCCAGAUGUGUAAAAUACAUCUGUUAGCAAGGGCCGGGCAAGACCGGUGCCAGCCGCCGCGGUAACACCGGCGGCCCGAGUGGUGAUCGUGAUUAUUGGGUCUAAAGGGUCCGUAGCCGGUUUGGUCAGUCCUCCGGGAAAUCUGAUAGCUCAACUAUUAGGCUUUCGGGGGAUACUGCCAGACUUGGAACCGGGAGAGGUAAGAGGUACUACAGGGGUAGGAGUGAAAUCUUGUAAUCCCUGUGGGGCCACCUGUGGCGAAGGCGUCUUACCAGAACGGGUUCGACGGUGAGGGACGAAAGCUGGGGGGCACGAACCGGAUUAGAUACCCGGGUAGUCCCAGCCGUAAACGAUGCUCGCUAGGUGUCAGACAUGGCGCGACCGUGUCUGGUGCCGCAGGGAAGCCGUGAAGCGAGCCACCUGGGAAGUACGGCCGCAAGGCUGAAACUUAAAGGAAUUGG